rnacentral:snoRNA from 1 species
AAUCCAUGGUGAGGGCAUCUUCUCAAUAAAUAUUUAUACCUCUCCCAUACAUCAUAUAGGGUCUCUAAGUCGAUCUGUACGAAAGAAGAGAUAUCAUUCCUCAACUU